AGAUUAAGUUAUUAAGGGCGCACGGUGGAUGCCUUGGCACUAGAAGCCGAUGAAGGACGUUACUAACGACGAUAUGCUUUGGGGAGCUGUAAGUAAGCUUUGAUCCAGAGAUUUCCGAAUGGGGAAACCC
rnacentral:rRNA from 1 species